CCUACGGGGGGCAGCAGUGAGGAAUAUUGGUCAAUGGUCGGGAGACUGAACCAGCCAAGCCGCGUGAGGGAGGAAGGUACAGAGUAUCGUAAACCUCUUUUGUCAGGGAACAAAGGCGGGGACGUGUCCCCGGAUGAGUGUACCUGAAGAAAAAGCAUCGGCUAACUCGGUGCCAGCAGCCGCGGUAAUAGGGGGGAUGCGAGGGUUAGCCGAUUUCAUGGGGUUUAAAGGGCGCGCAGGCGGUCUGUUAUGUCAGUGGUAAAGGCCCGGGGCUCAACCCCGACCCGCCGUUGAAACUGGCCAUCUCGAGUUGGAGAGAGGUAUGCGGAAUGCGCGGUGUAGCGGUGAAAUGCGUAGAUAUCGCGCAGAACUCCAGUUGCGAAGGCAGCAUGCCGGCUCCACACUGACGCUGAGGCACGAAAGCGUGGGUAUCGAACAGGAUUAGAUACCCCUGUAGUC
rnacentral:rRNA from 1 species